AGUUCCUGCUGUAAUGAUAAUAUCACUCUGGGAUUAAGCCAGCUGGUGGCUGACUGCUGUGGUUCUGUAGCUUACAAUCCCCUUAAUGAGAUUUGCUGUAGUGGCAGAAUUCUGACUCAAAGCAGCACUAAUGUGAAAUGCUGUGGCAAAGACAUGUACUUGACAACGACUCAUGUUUGUUGUGGUGGCAACAAUAUAUUACAACAGAAGGAAAAUCAUGCUUGUUGUGGCAAGGAAACGUUUGACGUGACAACCCACUGCUGCUGUGCUAACCCUGAACUAGAAGUAAAGCCUAAAAAUGAAGCUUGCUGUCCAAAAGCAACAG